AUGGAAUUCAAUGAUCUGCCUCACAUUAUCUUUAUCACUCACGUGCUGUUUCCACUGAUGAUCUGUACAAAUGUAACAUCAUCAUAUCCAGUGCUGAGCACAGGCAACCAAGAACUGGAACUUCACACUCGCUGCAUUGCAUUAGAAAAUGUAUAUUUUUGUAUUAUAAUGGGUAUCUUCCUAUCUACAUGUGUAACUUGUUCAGUAGUUACAAGGGGAAACAAAUUUAUCCUCAGAAAUCUCAUAAUUUAG